UUUCCGUAGGUGAACCUGCGGAAGGAUCAUUGUCGAWACCUGCAAAGCAGAACGACCCGUGAACUUAUACUAACCCGGGGGCGGGGGAAGGUGCACUUGUGCUCCGCAACCCCUCGUCCCCUAGCCGGGCAGUGCCUCUCGUCGCCUCGAAUCCCUUCGUGCAACGGCGUGUGGUGCUGCACGGUGAUAUAAACGAACCCCGGCGCGGAAUGCGCCAAGGAAAUUCAAACGAACUUAGCACACCACAGGCCGACUAGUGCGGCCUUGGUGAUGCAAACUUCGAUACCUUAACGACUCUCGGCAACGGAUAUCUCGGCUCUCGCAUCGAUGAAGAACGUAGCGAAAUGCGAUACUUGGUGUGAAUUGCAGAAUCCCGUGAACCAUCGAGUCUUUGAACGCAAGUUGCGCCCGAAGCCAUUCGGCCGAGGGCACGCCUGCCUGGGCGUCACGUAUCGCGUUGCUCCCCAACACUCGCACCUCACGGGCGUGUGCUGCGGAAGCGGAGAUUGGCCUCCCGUGCUCCUGCACGGCUGGCCUAAAUGCAAGCCUCGGGGUGACGAAGUGUCACGACAAGCGGUGGUUGAUAUUCUCUCGGCCCUUGUUCCGUCGUGCGCGUCAGUGCCCUACGAGCUCAGCAUCCCCGACGCGUCAUCUCUGAUGGCGCUUGCAUCGCGACCCCAGGUCAGGCGGGAUUACCCGCUGAGUUUAA
rnacentral:rRNA from 1 species